rnacentral:rRNA from 1 species
AAUUUUUUAAAAAAUUAUUUUUAUAAAAUUAUUUAUUUUUACUAUUUAAAAUAAUAUUUAAUCAUUUAUAUUUUUAUUAAUUUAAAAAUUUUAUUUAUUUAUAUUUUUAGUAUUGAAAAAGAAAUUAAUUAAAUUAAUAAAAAAAAAAAUUUUUUAUUUUUACCUUUUGUAUCAGGGUUUAUUAAAAUUUUUAAAGUAUUUUUUUUUCUCGAAUUAAAUUGAAUUAAUUAAAUAUAAAUAUUAAUAUGUAAUUAUUAUAAAAAAUAUUUAAUUUGUAAAAAAAUUUUAUUCAUAAUUUAAUAUAUCUAGUUAUUUUAUAAUUAAAUUUAAUUUAUUUAAUUUUUUUUUUAUUAUUAUUUAUUAAUGAUAAAAAUAUUUUUAACAAAAAAUCUAAGGGAUUAGCUUUAGAUUUUUUAAAAUAUUUAAAUUUUAUUUUUUAAAUUUAAAUAAAAAUAAAAAUUUUUAUUUUUAAUUAAUUUAUAAUUAUUAAAAAAUUUAAAUUUUUAAAAUUUAAUAAAUAAUAUAAAAAUAAUUUUAUAUUUAUAAAAUAAAAAUUUUUAAUUUUUUUAAAUUUUUUAUUAUAAUAAAAUUAGUAAAUAAUUUUUUUAAAAAAUUUAAUAUUUUUAAAUAAAUUUUAAAUGAAUUAGGCAAUAAUUUAUUAUUCAAAUGUUUAAUAAAAACAUUGUUUAUUGAAUAAAAAUAAUAAAUAAUUUCUGCUCAAUGAAAAUUUAAAUAGCUGCAAUUUUUGUACUAAGGUAGCAUAAUCAUUUGUCUUUUUAAUAAGGUCUAGAAUAAAUGAAAUAAUGAAAUAAUAACUUUAUAAUAAAUUUUAGAUUGAAUUUUAUAAUUAAGUUAAAAAUCUUAAUUAUUUUAAUUAGACGAGAAGACCCUAUAGAAUUUUAUAUAUUAAAUUUAUAAAUUUAUUAAUUUAAAUUUUUUUUUUUAUUUAUAUAUUUAAUUGGGGUUAUUUUAAAAUUUAAAUAAAUUUUAAUAUAUUUAAAUAUAAAUUUAUAGAAAUUAAAUAUUAAUAUUAAUAAAAUAAAUAAAUUACCUUAGGGAUAACAGCGUAAAAAUUUUAAGGCGAUCUUAGCUUAAAAAUUAUUUGCGACCUCGAUGUUGAAUUAAGAUAAAUUAUUGGUGUAGAAACUUUUAAAUUAAGUCUGUUCGACUUUUAAAAUCUUACAUGAUUUGAGUUUAGAUCGGUGUGAGCCAGAUCGGAUUCUAUCUAUUAAAAUAUAAAUUAAUUUUGUACGAAAGGACUUUUUAAUUUUAAUAAUUAAUUUUUAAAUUAAUAUUAGAAUAAAAUUA